UACGUAGGGUGCAAGCGUUAAUCGGAAUUACUGGGCGUAAAGCGUGCGCAGGCGGUUAUGUAAGACAGAUGUGAAAUGCCCGGGCUUAACCUGGGAAUUGCAUUUGUGACUGCAUCGCUGGAGUGCGGCAGAGGGGAUGGAAUUCCGCGUGUAGCAGUGAAAUGCGUGGAUAUGCGGAGGAACACCGAUGGCGAAGGCAAUCCCCUGGGCCUGCACUGACGCUCAUGCACGAAAGCGUGGGGAGCAAACAGG
rnacentral:rRNA from 1 species